CAACUACUCCCUCCGUCCGAAAAAACCUGUCCCUCAAAUGGAUGUAUGGAUGUAUCUAGCAUCAAGUUAGUGCUAGAUACAUCCAUUUGAGGGACAAGCUUGGGACAAGUUUUUUCGGACGGAGGGAGUAAAAU
rfam:Triticum urartu cultivar G1812 contig127822, whole genome shotgun sequence.